rnacentral:lncRNA from 1 species
AUGAAAAUAAUCUCAGAUGGAAGGUUGGAGAGAAAUGAAGGAACAAAUAAACAAACAAAUGGAGAACAAAGAAAAGGUUCUGCCAUCAGAAUGUUGGAGUGCCAUUACCAACUCUCUGCACCUCCUCCUGUCUUCCUCCUGGAGUUCUGGGUAAGCUAUUUUGUCCCACCCACUGGGAGAGCACUCUGGGUGUUGGAAGGUUAGGAGCCCUGAAAAGAAGGCAGGAGAAGAGAAGCCCUCAUUCUUCUACAUUAGCUGUGAGGCUGCAAAGGAAACCCCCUGCAGGGCUCCCAGAUUUUAAAAGCGCCCUGGUGAGUAAUGACCUGGUGAGUAACGCUCCUGCAGAGCACAUGCGGGACUCUGCCCUGUCUCCCACCUCUUUCCUUGUAGUCCUUACUUAAAAUAGAAACCAGUUAAAUAUGGUAGCCAGCUGGGAGCCUGACUUUCUACUCCUAAUGCUCGCCUACCUGCCUCACAUUUAGAAUUUUUUUUUUUUAGCAAAGUGAAAGCAAGUUUAUUAAGGAAGUAAAAGAAUAAAAGAAUGGCUACUCCUUAGAGCAGCCCUGAGGGCCGCUGGUUGCCCGUUUUUAUGGUUAUUUCUUGAUGAUAUGCUAAACAAGUGGUGGGUUAUUCAUGCUUCCCCUUUUUAGACUAUAUAGGGUAACUUGCUGAUGUUGCCAUGGCAUUUGUACACUGUCAUGGGGCUGGUGGGAGUGUAGCAGUGAGGACGACCAGAGGUCAUUCUUAAUCGCCAUUUUGGUUUUGGCCGACUCCUUGACUGCAUCCUGUUUUAUCAGCAAGGUCUUUAUGACCUGUAUUUUACGCUGACCUCCUGUCUCAUCCUGUGACUUAGAAUACCUUAGCUUACUAGGAAUGCAGCCCAGUAGGUUUCAGCCUCAUUUUACUCAGCUCCUAUUUAAGAUGGAGUUGCUCUAGUUCACAUGCCUCUGACAGCAGGAGUUCAAGACCAGCCUGGGCAACAGAGCGAGACCCUGUCUCUCUUGGGAGACCAGAUCC